CUAUUAUCUAUAAAUCACUAAGCUAAAUGUUUGGGGAGAGAAAAAUAGUGAAUGGCCUCUGUUCUCAAGAGGCUUUUGAUAUAGUAUGUUGGUAAGUUAAGAUAUCUAAAUAGCCAUAAUAUAAAGUUAAGUAUAAAUAUGUAAUAGAGAUACAGGCACUUAGUAAUGAGAAAUCAUUGGAGUAUUCACCUUGUGCCAGGGAUCUAAUAUAAAAAAGUUCUCCAUGACCUGAAAGCACUGGCAAUGGCUUGCAACACGGUCAUGGAAAAGCACUGGGCAUGCUCAAGUGUCAGAAAGUAAUCCAAAUCCACGGUGGCGUAGAAUAUAAAAUAUAACAUGCUAAGGCAUGUCUUGGAAAGGGUUGAUGCCUUUGUGUAAUUUUCCCAUCAGAUUGAAACAUUUAUGAGUAUUGGGAAGCCACUGAAAGAUUUGGAGAGAAGAAAUAAGAAUUUUGAAUUAGGAAGGCUCAUAUGAUAGAAAACACAGUGUAUACAUAACUGUCCUAAAAGGUAGGAAGAACUAAGCUGAAAUCCUGCAUCUGACAUUAUUGAUUCUCAACCAUAAUCUCUCACUAUUUUAGGCAACUCCAUUAGACUAAUUUCAGAGAAGAUGAUGCUAUCUGCAUUGGUAGAGGAAGUUUCCUAAUUCAGGACUUUCCUCUAUCACUGAAAUCACAGAUUCAGUUCACAUCCCUAUUUCUAAGAUGACAGUAUAAAACUGAUUCAUUGAAGCACAGACUGGUGUCUGCAUUGCUCUGAAUGCUGGGAACAAAGUAUAAAUUACAUUCUUGAAAAAUAAUCUUUCUAUAGAAUCAGCUUCAGGGAAUUUAAAAACCAUUUGAAGGAUACUUCAUAUUUCAGGGAGAGGAAUGAAACAAAAAUUUUCCAAUUGACACAUUUACAUAGAGUAUUAAUUUUCUAUUUUUCUGUACUUAUAGACCGUGUCUAUGGAAAACAUUGGAGGAAGCAUUUGUACAUUUUACAAAUGAUAAAAGUCUUCUAAGAUUUAUAUCUUUUCCCAACCUAGUAAAUUAGAAGUAGGGGUAAUUUAAUACUGUAGGUGAGUGUCUGAAGAAUUGUGGUUGGGGAGGGAGGGGUCUUUUACAGAUUUUUCUUCAUUAUUAUUUUCAAAUGAAACAGUCUCCUGAAAUAGUCUUAAAUUAGGAAGCUUUUGUCUUAGCCCUUCAGACUAUUCAUAAGUAUUGGAGAAAAUUUAACUCUACAUAUUAUAGAUAAAUCUUAGCCAUCAGUUAUUGUCACAUAUGUGAAUUCUGGCAGUAGUAAUUCAUUUUAAAGGUCAAGUGUUGAAUUUAUGAUUCCUCCACUGUAUUUCAGAGUUCAUUCUUGUGGCUUGAAGAAACACCUCUCAUAUUCAGUUCUGUGUCCACAUGUACACAGGGCAUUGAUAAACUAGACAGUCCAGAGAAGGGCCAUUAUGAUGCUGACCUUCAGAUCCUGCAGUAUGAAGAUUAUUUUAAAAAACUGUAGGUGGUAGGCUUGAAGAAGAGAAGAUUCUAGAAGAAUAUAGUUGUGGUAGGCUUGAAGAAGAGAAGAUCUAGAAGGAUAUAGUUGUUCUCUUCAAGUAUUUUCUAAAGAGGGGUCUAUUUUUCUCUGCUUUCCCUUAGAGGGAAGAAUCAGACACAAUGAGUGUCAACAAAGAGGCACAUUUAGUCUUUAUGAAAAAAAAAAAAAAACUUCCUAACAGAGCUGACAAAAAUAGAAUUGUCUUCCUUGGGAGUUUGUAUUUUUCCCCCUUAGCAGAAGUUCUUAAGGGUAUGGGAGAGAGAGUCUUGGUUCAAUAGUAUUGAGAUCCCUGCCAACUUUGAGUCUCUUGUCUCUUGAUCCAUCUCUUCAACUUGGAAGUCUGAAUCUGAUUGGCUACAAUCUUGUCAACAUGAUCAAAACCUUGCAAAAAAAAAAAAAACAAACAAACAACAAGCUGUCCCUUAAAAUUUAGUUAUCUGUCAAUGGCACCAAUGUAACUCUUAUUAGCUUUAGCUGUUUUUGAAACACAUACAUCUGCAUUCCAAAUGGAAUCCAUGAUGAAAAUUCUCAAAAUAGGAGUUAUUUUUUACUCUUUCUUAUUCCUAGAAACAUUUUCCAUCAGUAUUUUGUUUCCUUAUUUCUUUUGUUUUAAUAAUUGUCCCAUCAGACUUUUUAGUCUAUUCCUCUAUUCAAUCACAGAAUCUCAGAAUGGAAGGGACCUCCGAAUAGGACUUCCCUUUCUAGAAUCCUUGAGAGAUAUCAUCCAAAAUCUGUAAAGCUUUCCAGGAAUUGAGGAAUUCAGUAUCCCAAGCCACAUUUAGAAAAUUGAUGUCUAAAAGUUUGCUUCCUUGCAAAUUCCAUCCACUGCUCCUUUAGCUACCCUCUAGAUCCAAUCAGAAAAGGUUGUUUUUCUACAAGGUAACUUGUCAAGACAGCUAUCUUAAGUAUUUUUUUCCUGGUACAGUGGGAAGCACACUGCUGCUGAACACCAAGGAGCAGAGACCUGAGGGGGAAGGUUCAGAUUUCAUCUCUGACACUUCCUGUGUGGCCUUAUGCAGAUCACCUCAAUUUUCUGAAUCUUGUUUCCUUGUCUAUAAAAUAACAGGACUAACCAGAUUGUUUUUGCUGCUGUUCUAAUCCUAGAUCUACGAUCUAAUGAUCUUAAAACCUAAGCUUCAGUCUUCUUACCAUACAGAUUGUCAUCUUCUGGAUGUGCUCCAACUUGCCCAUACCUUUUCCUAAAACAUGACACUUAGACCUAAAAAUAAUACUUAUGAAGUAGUCUAAUCAUGUCAGAGUAGGACAAUCAUUUCCUUCAUUAAUGUUGAUUACAAGUACAACUUGUGUGUCUUGUGGAAUGUCAUGCUGUUUUACUAACUUGAGUUUCUAGUUCACAAAAAAGUUUUUCAUUCAAUAUUUGCGUAAUUGAUUUUUUGAACAUAAAUAUAGGAAUUUAGAUUUAUACUUAAACAUAAAUAUGAGUAUUUUUUCCACAGAUAUAGACUGCAAUUUACUGAUUUCUUUUCAUGAUUCUAAUAAGGAUCAUCUUCCAGGUGCUUUUUACAUUUUUCCAUGUUAAUAGGUAUCACACAUCACUCAAUUUAUUCCUUUCUUAUCCCUGGAUAUUGCAUGACCAGCCCAUCUCUACUUAUUUCCAGUAUGUUCCUUCAACAAUAUCCCUUUUGUCACUUUGUGGGAUGUAGAUCAUCUUUGGAAAUAUGUUGCAGUAUACCUGAACCCACAGCACAUCUUUGUUGCCUUUCAGCUCAUUUGUGGCUUUGAUUUUCUGAAGAUUUUGGUGUGCUAAAAUUAGCAACCAUAGAAGAUUUUUGGGAAAGCACUUGCUUUUAAAAUACUUCUUUGUUUUUCAGGUGUGAAGGAGCUUUUAAAAAUAUAGCUUAGGUGGAUGAGUGAUUUUCAUUGAAGGAAUAUUCUACAUUGAAAGUGCCCUACAUCAAUGAAUUCACAUGUGCAUAUCAAAUAUGUGUGUGUGUAUAUAUAUAUAUAUAUAUAUAUAUAUAUAUGUAUAAUGUAUGUUUGUAUACAGAACAAAGGACAAAAUAGUAUACUUACAUACAUAUAAAUGUGUACACAGAUAAUAGAAGCAUAUAUGUAUAUAUAUGAAUAUAUAUGAAUUCUAUGAUCUUUUCCAUUUUAAUAACUUCCUUAAGAUAUCUUGUAAAAUGAUCCCUUGAUGCUUACAAGAUUUAUUGCUUCCAGCAUGAUUUUCUUUGGUAUGUAUUUGUAUAUGAAGUGUUUUUCUAUUUUAAUGAUAUUAAAUAUCAUUUCUAUUUAUAUAGUACACUUUGUACUGAAGUGUCAAAAUGUGAAGACUGUAAGCUCCUUGAGUGCAAAGACUAUUGUUUUAGGUUUUUUCCCUAUCACUUGGAAAAAAGACUUGUGACAAAUGUCUAUUGAAUUUAAUUAGACUUCAAAUGUGAUUUAACCAUCAUUAAUGAUGAAAAUAGAUUAUUGUAGAAAAAAAGAAUGACACAUUGGUUCCAUUUUGUGCUUCUCUCAAUUCAUCUUUGUUACUGGUAUGUUGUAACUCAAGUCUCACACUAAAUUUUUUUCAAUUUAUUAUUUUUAUCAUUCCUUGAUUUUAAAAUGCCACUAAUUUUCUCCCUCCCCUCCAAAUCCUCUCCUUCACUGAAAAGACAAGCCAAAUGAUAUCAAUAAUAUAUGUAAAAUCACACAAAACACUCCCAGAUUAGCCAUAU
ensembl:lncRNA